CCUUUUCCCUGUAAAGGGUUAAGAAGCUCAGGUAACCUGGCUGGCAUCUGACCUAAAGGACCAAUAAGGGGACAAGAUACUUUCAAAUCUUGGGGGGGAAGGCUUUUGUUUGUGUUCUUUGUUUGGGAGUGUGUUCGUUCUCGGGGACUGAGAGGGACCAGACAUCAAUCCAGGUUCUCCUCAUCUUUCUAAGCAAGUCUCUCCUAUUUCAAACUUAUAACUGAAUCCACUAAGAUGAUGUUCAAGAUAUCAAUUUGAAACAAUGUAUUUUUGACUGUUGGGAAAAAUCUGGAUGAAUCAUGAACGUGGUUAUACAGAAUGCCCUUACCUUGAUGCCUGAUGGUAACUGUUCUGUUCCCAAUACAAACAAAACAUUUUUCAUCUUACUGGGGGGAAAAAGCAGCUUCUGUCAGUGUGCACUGAACCCAGACAAGUCACUUGCUUUCAUAACAUAACACAGGCUUUCUUCUCUGCUUUUUUUUUUCUUCCCUACUCUUUCUUCCAAGUCGUCUCCUGAUGUCCUGUCUCCUUCUCAGGCCUGAUCCGAAGCCCUCUGCAAUCAAAGGAUUUCUUUCCAAUUACUUCCAAGGACCUUGGAUCAGGCCCUCUUGUACCACAGAACUCUUGCGUUUCACAGGAGAAUACAAUGGGAUCAGAAACAGGAAAGAGAUGUAAACAACUGUUAAUGCACACUAGCGUGGGCACCUGGUUACCGAUAGUUACUUUAUUGAACUGGAUCUUUGGAGGAAGGAUCCAAACUGAGUUAAUUCUGCCAAACAAGCAGCAGCUCCAUAAAGUUAAACCUGCCUUUAGGUCUAGUUAUUUUCAGAAAUGUCUGAGUUACUUUGGCAUGAAUGAAAGAUUUGGGGAAAACUACUAACCUUAAAAAAUGUUAUUCCAAUUAAAGUCUCUGGUGUUUGCAAUUAUGGAGUGUUGAGAAGUCUGAGUAAUAACUUGUAUUCAUUAAUUUAUGCUGCAAUAACAAUUUUGGCAUGAGGUUACCACUGCAGGCCGAUAAAGCAGAUGAGCGGGCAAAAAUGUCUCUGGCUAAAAAGACAAUAGGCCUCAGUGGGCUUCAUAGCAAAGUCCAUAACUAAUAAGUAUUUACACAGAGUGACUUUGAUUGGAAGCUCUUCACCCGACCUUUUGGGAGAUGUGUACGUGUGAGGCAAGAUUCCAGGAACAGGAUGAGAAAAAUCUACAUGUUACACACACAUCUCUUUUGCUUGGACUGUAUUUAAAACGAUGCAGAUUAACUGAAAGGAAAUCAAAACUACUGUUCAUGCAAACAAGACAAUCGAGAAUUUCCAUUAUGUAGUUCCUUAAUCUGAGACUAUUCAGUUAUUUGGCUACCAAAUUUCAGUUUUACUGAAAUAAAAAGUUUAAUAAAAAAAAUCAAACACUUUAAGCCUGCAAAUAAUUCAGUGUAAUAUACUCUCUCUCAAGAUAUCACAAGUCAACAGUAUUUUUUCAAAAUUGUGAACAAAGUUUAAAUAUGAAAUCUUCCAGAAACUAUUCUAUUUAAUACAGAAAUUAUAAAGGGUGAAUAAAAGGAAAGGAAUAAAGGGUGUGAAGGUGCAGAAAUGCAUUGUCCACCCCAAAAAUCCAAACAAAUUCUAAUUCAAUCUGCCAGAAGACACAGGACAUAUCACCACUGCAUUUAAAGGAUGUAUAAUCUCUAUUUUAUUGCCAUAUAAACUCUGCAGAAUAAAGACCUCCAAAAUCAUAACCUUCCACUGGUCAUCUUUACAGUGUCACUCACAAGUGCAGUUCCCCUAUUUUUUAUAAUCACGGAACAAGUAUGCAAACACAUUUUAGUUAGUAAGAAAAAUCCCAAAUAUUUUGCAAUAUACAGCAGAUCUACAAGCCAUAGUGAACAAAAUGAUUUCAGAAUAAUUGGAAUAAAAGUCAUUCAUAUUUCCUUAUAAAUCAAGAAUCUGUUUACUGUGCAUUAUUUAAUUGCAGUGCCUGUAAGUAUUAUUUCCUGGGUUUGUGGUGUUUAUGUUUUUUGACAUUUACGGUUAGUCUCUCUUUAGCAACACAAGAUGUUGUUUAAUCCUUGUUUAAAGAAGCCUGAUCCUCUUUAGGGGAGAAAGGCUACACUUGCUAUUGAAAUUAAUUUCUAAGUCAAUAAGUAUUUACUCUGUCUUAAUUUCAAAAGAGUAUAAGGUACCCACUCAACUUUGUUUUAACAUAUGGCCUAAACCCAUGGCAUUUAAUCUGUAAAUCCAAUCCUGCAGCCAUGCCUGAAUGAAUUUAAUACUGAUUAUUCGGUAGUCAGGGCCACUUGCAGGAGUAAAGAGUUCCAGAUCAGGCAUCUAUGAAAAGAGGAGAGAAUGCAUGUGUUUAAUGUUCUAUUUUCAUCCUUGCUUUAUUCUACACAUCUAUUUUCUGUUAGCUGUCUUUUUGUUUCAUUCAUUGUCACUAUUUUUGUUAAAGAUAUUCCAGUUUCUUAGCAAUUUCUGCCAUGGCCUCUCUCCCAUUUUAUUUAAUAUGCAUGGGGAGAAAUGGUACCUCUCUCUCUCUGGUGCCAAAAUGGACAAAAUAUCCAUAAUGGCCAGGGUAGAAUGCCCCCAGCACAGGCACCCUGUAGUGCCACUGUAAAUAUCCUGAUACUAGCCCAUAUGCAAACCCCAGUGCAAAGACGUUGGAGAGUCUCCACAUUGCUCACCACUAUGGAGAUUCUUGACUGCUCCCGACUAUGACACAGCUAUAGCCACCCUUGGAUGGUUGCUCCAGAUUUAUGCUAAGGGCCACUUCUGCUCUCAGAGCAGCCCAGAAUCUGAAAAGUGCAAAGGUGGCUUAAGGGUCCAAAUUCCCACUCUUUGCUUCCUAGCGCCACCUUCCGGAGGUUCAGCACAGAACUUCAGCUAAAAUGAGGCUAUUGUCUGCCUUUUGGGCCACUGACUCAAAGUAACAUGCAGCAUGAUUAAUGCAAUUACCUGUACCAUUCAUUUAACAAAAUAUCCCUAAUUAAACAUGUGCAGAAAGUAAAAUACUCAUCUCUGGUUUUAUGUUGUAUGUGGAACUGCCACUGCCAUCAAUGGAAGUUUCUCACAUACAACAUGCAACAGAGAAUUGCAGGUAAUAGUGCUCUGCAACAUGGACUGAAGAGAUUAAUUUUGCCUAACAACCUGACCACCGCUGUCUCUCUCCCUGCCCAUCCAGCCAGCAUGCUUUUCAUCUCCCAUUGUCAUCCAGCAGAGUUGGUAUGGGGUAUGUGCAGUACUAGGAUUUUAUGUUUUAUAUAUUUUGUAUAAUUUAGAAUGAACAAUAAAGAAUAAUAAUACAGCAUGUAUUAAAUGUAUUGAUGUAUGAUAUGAUUUGAGCAUAUUCUGCCAGCCACCCUUUCUGAAAGCAGAAAGGAAUGGCCGAAUGUGCCAUUGAUAAAGAUGCAUCAUUCAGAAUCUCGUGUCUGAAGCUGAUUUGAAGGGCAGUAAUAGACCUUUAGGGUCUCCAUUUUGUUGUAAGUUUAAAAUUAGCAUUUUGAAAUAAGUAAAAGAAUGCAAUGAUUGCUUUCUCCCGCAUUGCAAUUUGAUGUUCCCAUUCAAAUGUUCUGUGUAAAUCGACCCUGUUUUGUGUAUGAAUGAGGAAUGUGUGUGUUAGAAAAUAAAUGUGAAGGCCAUCACCGGAUCAGAUAUUCCAUGGAGGAACCGAGGACAGACAAAGGCACCAGGAGAUUGCAACAUGCCCCCAUUGAGAUGUCAGAGGAGGGCAGAUUGAUGACUCUGAAAGAUGGGGCAGGCACCUAUCAAUGGGAACAAGAUAGCUGUGAUCAAAACCAGCAUGGGGUAACUCCCUGAGAGACCAAUGAAAGAACAAGAUAACGGAUGAGAAGAACAAUUUAAGAAAACAGGCACUUGUCAAAUGGCGAUUCAUUUCAGCAUGACAGUACAAAGCUUACCGGCCUGUAAUUGCCAUGAUCACACCGGAGUCUUUUUUAAAAAUUGGUGUCACGUUAACUAUCCACUAGUCACCUGGUACGGAAGUUGAUUUAAGCAAUAGAAUACAUACCACGGUUAGCAGUUCUGGGAUUUCACAUUUGAGUUUCUUCUGAACUUUUGGGUGAAUACCAUCUGGUUCUGGGGACUUAUUACUAUUUCAUUUAUCAAUUUGUUCCUUUCUAUUUUCCUCAGUAGUAUUUGACUUCCAAUUUUUAAAGAAUGCCUUUUUGCCUCUAACUGCUUCUUUUAGUUUGUUGUUUAGCCAGGGUGGCACAUUUUUGUUGUUCUUCUGUUUUUAAUUUGGGGCAAUACGUUUAAUUUGAGCCUCUAUUACAGUGUUUUUAAAAGUUUCCAUGUAGCUUGCAGGCAUUUCACUGUUGUGACUGUAUCUUUUAAUUUCUGUAUAACUAGCUCUCUCAUUUUUGUGCAGUUCCCCUUUCUGAAGUUAAGUGGUGGGUUUCUUUGGUACCCUCCGCCCCCCAAGAAUGUUACAUUUCAUGGUGGUUAUUACUGAAUGCCAAGAAUUAGCACAGUGAUAUCAGAGAGAUCACAUUUCUCUUCUAGCCUAAGCCUAGAAUAGGGGAAAUUGUGCUGAUCUAAGAAGCAAUAACUGUCAGCAAAUGCUGGCUAUUUUAAAACAUGCUUUUAUUUAAAAUGGGGCAGGUACAAACUAAGCACCUUUCCAUGGUGACCAUUGUUAUUCUUGAAACAACAGUUUUCAUGCCUCACCAUACAGAAGGUGCGCAAGGUGUGGCUGAUACUGCGGUAUGUGUAACCCACAGAGACUAGCAAUUGCUUUUUCCAACUGACCUAGCAAUGAUGAGAAGAAAUAUUCAAGUCAAUGGGAGUUUUUUCAUUUACUUCAUUGGGAGGAGCCAGGACAGUGUAGAAGGCUUUUGAAAAGCCCAUGUUAUAUUUCUUGAUUUGGAUAAAUACAGUUGGUCAAUGGACAGAUUGAGUAUGAUGUUUGCGAUGCUCAGUGGAUGACUGUUAGGGUAACACACGAUGUAACCUCCCUUCAACCAGUCCUUGGUUCAGACCAACUAGAUGUGAAUUAUUUAGAUCCACAACAUCUUUUUCAUAACUUUUCUAAAAAAAAAAAAAAAAAAGUGUCCGGGCCCAUUCUGCAAUGUCUGUCAUAGCAAGGUGGGUUUUUUUUUAUACCUUAAGCACCAUUGCCAGAUGCUUUUCUCAGGGUUAAUUAGUCAAAGGUACUUGUUAAUUAGGUAGCUUCAUAGGGUAUAGAUAACCAUAUGAAGCUGGCAUUGUCCCCCCAUCUUGACAGGGCUUAUAAUUGCUUUAAAGAGAUAAAACCUGUGCAAUGCAGCCAAAAUGUAUGACGGAGACAGCGGGAGUCUACUCUGAUGCUACCUCAUCCAUCUGUCACACCAAACACUUCAGCAUGCAUUCUGAAGUCAGAUUUCCCAUUACAAAGUGAGUUUGCUUCACCUCCUCAAGUAUUUUCCACAGUUUGUCAGCUUUUGUCAGGCAUGGCUAGAGUUCAAACCCCAACUUCAUAUUAGGCAGAAGUUUUCUUUUAAAAAGAAGUAUACAUUCUUUUAACUGACAUUGUCAUGGGUUCUCUUUUCCAAGCCAUUGAUGCUACUGCUGGGCCCAAAAGCAGUCUGUGUGAUGCUGCUAUGCAUGGAUGGAUAAAGUUACAGGUAAUAGCUGGUUAAGAGGAAAAAGAAGUUGAGUGCAGGGAAACUCCAGGUUCCAGCCAUAAGGCUUUUCAGAAGAGUUUAGGUUUUGUGCUUAUAUAUUAUGUUGUUUCUCCCAAGACUGAACAAAAGAAUAGAAAAGAACAUUUGAUUAGAUGGUUGUGAAAUCUAACAGAAAAUCACUGUAUGUGAAUAAAAAAAUGAAUGGUAAAUUUCUAAAAAUAUAUACUGUACCAAGCCAAUCAGCAUUCAUAUUAUUUAGGCGUGAUUUUGGAAAGCAGACCAGAUAACCUCUUUAAGAACAGAAGAAAAGGUCAUCCAGCCCAUCAUCUAUGACUUUCUUGAAAAAUCUUAAUCUUACUUGCCUUGUUUUACCAUUGCUCUCAAUCCUCCUUCUUCUCAGAAACUAAUGUACAUAUCCAUUGAAGGUAUGUAUAAUAUUGUUUGCUUCAGUAGCCUCAUGAAGUAACAUAUGUCAUAUAUUUAUCAUCUUUUGGCAUGAAAUGGUUUAACUUCUGUUCCUUUUUUAUUUCAAGUUUCCUAAUUAUUUUUAUCAUGUCACCUGGAUUUUGACCCACUCACUCAACUCUUUUUUUCUGUUGCUUUUAUCAAUAACUUUCAUUAACUGAUCUGAAGACAACAUUUUUCUUUAAAUAUGGUAGUUGCCAAUAGAGCAUAUAACAUAUGUAGCACUCCAGGUGGAGUCUAACAAUUAUGUUAGAUCAUUUUCUUAUUUUGUAUUCUCUCACUUUGCUGCACAACCUAGUACCUUUUUGUUUGUUUGUUUUUUGCUUAAGUGCAGAUUUGCACUAGAGUGAUGUUUUUGAUGCUUUUUGACACACAACCCCCAGUGACCAAUGCUUAUUUCUAUCCUGGGAAAGAAAUGUCUUUUUCAUCUUUGACAGAAAUACCAUCAAAAAUAAUGUUCAGCAGAGGUCUCAGUCAACUGCAUGUCAAAGUAAUUAAACUCAGCAUCCUACACUACAUCUUAAUAAACUAUAAUCUUAAAUCUUGUACUCCAGAAUCUUACUGAUUUAAGAUUAUAGAAGAAAGAAAGAAAGAAAGAAAGAAAGAAAGAAAGAAAGAAAGAAAGAAAGAAAGAAAGA